GACGAACGCUGGCGGCGUGCUUAACACAUGCAAGUCGAACGGAAAGGCCCUGCUUUUGUGGGGUGCUCGAGUGGCGAACGGGUGAGUAACACGUGAGUAACCUGCCCUUGACUUAGGGAUAACUUCAGGAAACUGGGGCUAAUACCGGAUAGGAGCUCCUGCUGCAUGGUGGGGGUUGGAAAGUUUCGGCGGUUGGGGAUGGACUCGCGGCUUAUCAGCUUGUCGGUGGGGUAGUGGCUUACCAAGGCUUUGACGGGUAGCCGGCCUGAGAGGGUGACCGGCCACAUUGGGACUGAGAUACGGCCCAGACUCCUACGGGGGGCAGCAGUGGGGAAUAUUGCACGAUGGGCGGGAGCCUGAUGCAGCAACGCCGCGUGUGGGAUAACGGGCUUCGGGGGUUAAACCGCUUUCGCCUGUGACGAAGCGAGAGUGACGGUAAUGGAUAAAGAAGCACCGGCUAACUACGUG
rnacentral:rRNA from 1 species